CCGAGUUAUUACUCCAAACCCAUUGUGAACCUUACCAUUUGUUCUGUUGCCUCGGCGGGGUAAAAACCCGCCGGCAGCACUAAACUCUUGAAUUUUAUAGUGGAUUAUACUUCUGAAUGAAAACACAAAACAAAUCA
rnacentral:misc_RNA from 1 species